CAGAAUCAGCUUCAUGGGUGUAGAUGUUGCCCCCACAGGCUGUCAGCCAACACAGUUAAAUCAAUCUACGAUCUAGUGAAGGAGAUGCAUUUAAUGGACACAAAUCAUCUUUUAAAGUUGACUUCUCUGUAAUUUGUCUCAAUUUCCUUUCAUCUGUUAUGAUCCUCAUGUUCUUUUCCAGCAAAUGAAUUCUCGAUUUGCUAUCGAGGGAGAUACAAGGUGUGACACUUUUUAAUUUGCCAGACCAUCUAUCUAUUCUCAUUGGAAAUUUCAUUCUUUCUUAAAGCCAACCAAAUGAUUAUCACAUGGUGCAUGGGGCAGAACAUCACAGAAGCAUGAAUAAAUAUCCAGCACUUUGAUAAGCAUCCACCCUGUGUGCACUCUAUGUAAGUGACAAUGAUUUUGAAAUCCUGCCACCAGAUGUUGGGAAGCUCACAAAGUUGCAGAUACUCAGCAAUAGGGAUAAAGACCUGAUCUCACUGCCUAAGGAAAUCGGGGUGCUUACCCAGCUUAAAGAGCUCCACAUUCAGGGGAACCGCCUCACUGUUCUACCCCCAGAACUAGAUUCUACAUCCCACCAGAGACGCACUCAACUGCUGACCAUGAAGAGGUUCACAUGCGUAGGCUCUGUGGUGCUCAGCCUUUUGGAA
rnacentral:sRNA from 1 species